GCCGGCUUAGCUCAGUGGUAGAGCAACCGCCUUGUAAGCGGUAGGUCAUCUGUUCAAAUCAGAUAGUCGGCACCA
rnacentral:tRNA from 3 species